CACGUAGGGGGCAAGCGUUGUCCGGAUUUAUUGGGCGUAAAGAGCUCGUAGGCGGUUCGGUAAGUCGGGUGUGAAACCUCCAGGCUCAACCUGGAGACGCCACCUGAUACUGCUGUGACUCGAGUCAGGUAGGGGAGAACGGAAUUCCUGGUGUAGCGGUGAAAUGCGUAGAUAUCGAGAGGGACACCUGCGGCGAAGGCGGGUUGCUGGGCCGACACUGACGCUGAUGCGCGAAAGCCAGGGGAGCGAACGGG
rnacentral:rRNA from 1 species